rnacentral:rRNA from 1 species
UACGUAGGGUGCAAGCGUUAAUCGGAUUUACUGGGCGUAAAGCGUGCGUAGGCGGUUCAUUAAGUCGGUUGUGAAAUCCCUGGGCUUAACCUGGGAACUGCAGUCGAUACUGGUGGACUAGAGUGCGGUAGAGGGUGGCGGAACUCCGGGUGUAGCGGUGAAAUGCGUAGAUAUCCGGAAGAACACCGAUGGCGAAGGCAACCACCUGGGCCUGCACUGACGCUGAGGUACGAAAGCGUGGGGAGCAAACAGG